rnacentral:snRNA from 1 species
GACCAUUUCGGGGACAUCUGAUAAAAUUGGAACGAUACAGAGAAGAUUAGCAUGGCCCCUGCGCAAGGAUGACACGCAUAAAUCGAGAAAUGGUCCUGUCAAUA